rnacentral:ncRNA from 2 species
UACAGAGGUCCCAAGCGUUGUUCGGAUUCAUUGGGCGUAAAGGGUGCGUAGGUGGCGCCGUAAGUCGGGUGUGAAAUUUCGGAGCUUAACUCCGAAACUGCAUUCGAUACUGCGGUGCUUGAGGACUGGAGAGGAGACUGGAAUUCAUGGUGUAGCAGUGAAAUGCGUAGAGAUCAUGAGGAAGACCAGUGGCGAAGGCGGGUCUCUGGACAGUUCCUGACACUGAGGCACGAAGGCCAGGGGAGCAAACGGG